rnacentral:lncRNA from 1 species
GCUGACUCUCUUUUCAGAUUCAGCCCAGUUGCACCCAAGUAAAAUAAACAGUCUUGUUGCUCACACAAAGCCUGUUGGUGGACUCUCUUCAUAUGGACUCAUGUGACAUUUGGUGCCGAAGACCUGAGACAGGAGGACUCCUUUGGGAGACCGGUCCCCUGUCCUCGCCCUCUCUCCAUGAGAUCCACCCAUGACCUCGGGUCCUCAGCCCAGCCGAAGGAACUUCUCACCAAUUUUAAAUCGGAGACAGAGGAGACACGUUUUGUCCAUGAACUCAAAAUUCUGCUGCUGGUCACAGACUCGGGAAGACAGUCUUCCCUUGGUGUCUAAUCACUGUGGGGAUGCAUGUCUGAUUAUUCACCCACAUUCCAGAGGUGUCUGACCACUGCAGGGACGCCUGCCUUGAUCCUUCACCUUGGUGGCAAGUACCACCUCCCCUGGAUGGGACGCAAAGCCAACAAGAAUGAAGAAGUGGCCAGGUAUGGUGGCUCAUGCCUGUAAUCCCAGCACUUAGGGAGGCCGAGGAGGAAGAAUUGCUUGAGGCCAGGAAUCCCAGACCAGCCUGGACAACAUGGCAAAAUCCAGUCUUUACAAAAAAAAAAUUUUUUUAAUUGCUGGGCAUGGUGGCACACACCUGUGGUCCCAACUACUUGGGAGGCUGUGGCAGGAGGAUUGCUUGAGCUCAAGAGUUCCAGGCUGCAAUUAGCUAUGAUCAGACCACUGCACUCCAGCCUGGGCAACAGAGUGAGACCCUGAAAAACAAAAAAGAAGGGAGGAAGGGGGGAAAGAAAGGAAAAAGAAAGGAAGGAAGGAAGGAAGGAAGGAAAGGAAGGAAGGAAGGCAGGAAGGAAGGAAGGAAGGGAGGGAGGGAGGGAGGGAGGGAGGGGGAGGGGAGGGGCCAGGUGUGGUUGCUCACACUUGUAUCCCAGCACUUUGGGAGGCCAAUGCAGGCAGGUCACUUAAGCUCAGGAGUUCAAGACAAGCCUGGGCAACAUGACAAAACCCCAUCUGUGAUGGGAGGAGGGCAGCCAGGGCCAGUCCAGGGCUCCUGUCCUGGCCAGGCACAGUGACUCACACCUUUAAUCCCAGGACUUUGGGAGGAUGAGGAGGGAGGAUCGUUUGAACCCAAGAGUUUAAGACCAGCCUGAACAACAUGCUGAAACCCCGUCUGUCCAAAAAAUACAAAAAUUAGCUGGGCACAGUGGUGCACACCUGUGGUCCCAGCUACUCUAAAGGCUGAGGUGUGAGGAUCGCUUGAGUCUGGGAGGUUGAGGCUGCAGUGAGCUGUGAUUGAGCCACUGCCCUCCAGUCUGAGCUGACACUGAAGACAGAGACACUGAGCAGGCCAGAGAUGGGGGAGAGACUGAACAGUGCAGAAAGGAGGACAGGAGAGCCAGGAGGAGAGGCCAGCAAUGUUGAGAGAGUGAGGUUGUGAGAGGAAAAUAAAAACGAAGGGAGGAAGAAAUACAACUGUAGGGAAAGGGGGAGGUGGAUUGACUAGAGGCAGGAGGACAGACACAGAGAAUGGGGGCUCUACUCAGGGCAGAACAGGCAUGCAGCCCCCCAGGACCCACAAUCUCAUGGAGGAGACAGGACCUCACCUGUGACAAAGCCUGUUAUCUGAGGUCAGGGUCAAGGAGCACUUCUGGCCUUUCAUCUUCACCAUGAGGGACGCUGGGGGACUGAGGGACCAGGGGCAGCACUUCUCGAAGCAGACUCUGAAGGUGCAGUUCCACCCCUCUGGGUCCCAUCCGAGGGCAGGAUGGCAUUGUCAUAGUAGCAGUGCUGCAGAGGGUCACAGAACGUGUCCCCACAUCUUGCCUGUGGCUGGCACAGCAUCAGAUAAGCACCCAUGGGGGCCACUGGAGGAGACAGAGCUGGUGAGGUCCAGGUGGAAGGGCAGGUGGGUCCCAGCCUGGGAUCUCCUGGGAGCCACACCCCUCCCCCAGAUUCCCAGCCCUUCCUGGGCUCACCUGGGGGCUCCACAUGAUCAGAGAAGGCUGAGGAUGCAGAGAGACGCCAAGACAGCUGUGGGAGAAGGAAGAAGAGGAGGGCUCUGGAGGAGGCCACGAGCCAUCUUUGGGACCCCAGCCUGCGGCAGCACUGGGUCCAAGGGGGUCUCUGUCCUGACUGGAGCUCGAGGAAGGGCUAGAAGGUGAUCUGAGGUCAGGCACAGUCUCCCUGUGCUCAAGGGUCCUGGGCAAGGCCAGGGAGUGCAGGCAGGACUCUCAGAAGAAAUGGGCCUAGGGUUCAGGGCAAUGUGGUUGUUUCCUGGUGUUGGAGGAGUUCAGAGCUGGAGGCUCAGCUGGGGUCGGGCAGGGAAGGGGCUGAGCCGAGACUAGCGUUGUGCUAUGGGUGUGGCUGGCACUGACAUUUAGAAAAAGACUGGGUGGGACUGGAACCAGGGCUAGGCAUAAGUUUGGGGAGUAGUUUGGGGACUGAAACAGCUGUGGAUGGGGCUGACCCAGGGGCUGUGGAUGGGGAAUUGCUGUGAUGGAGCCAUGUCUGAGGAGGAGGCCAGGCAUGGGGACAGGGAUGAGGUGUAGUUUGGGGUGGGGAGUGAGCCUCGGUGGUGGCUGAGAUGGGAGAUGGGCUCGGGUGGGAAUGGGGUCCUGUCCUCCUUACCCAAGAUGUGGCCUCGGGAGCCAUGGCUCUGGGGUGGCUGGAGGGGAGUGAGUGGGUGAUCAGCAGGUCUCAGCAGCUCCUUGGCUCCUAUACUCCUAGAGGAGCUGGUGAUAUCGUGGGAUGCCCUGCCUUCCUGCAGAGACAUGCUGGGCCCUGGAGCGAGACAGGUCCCAGACAGGGUAUGUGUCAUGGUGGAUUUGAUGCCAGGUCCUUUGAGAGCCAGGAGAGGACCGAUGCUCCCUCCACCCUCGGUCCCUCUCUCCUCCAGAAUGGAGGCUUCUUUGGCAAAUAGGAAAUUGCAGGACACUCCUGGGGUCGUCCUCACCCUCCCACACUCACACAGCCACAAUGUUACAGCUGACCCUGUGAGUCUAGAGUCGAGACACGGACUGAGGGUUGCUCCAUGACCUGGUCCCCUUCUAGAUGUGAAUCAGUGCAAGGGCCCAGGACAGCGGAAGAGGUGUGAAGCCAUCCUGUGAUCGGGAAGCCACAGGGUGUCCAGACCCAGCGGGAGCCGAGGAUUCAGGAGAAUCUCCCCAGUCAGCUCCAGAGGUGCCCACAGUGUGAGCUCUAGUGUCUCCCAGGUAGGGGCCAAAGCGUCACCUGCCCGGCCCUGGGGGUGCAAGUGGAGUGGAUUUUACUCCUGUCCAGAAAAUGGAGUGAGACCCUGUCUCUAAAUAAAUACAUACAUUUAGA